AAGGAUCAUUAUCGAUUCUCAAAGGAUGUGCCUCUUUAACUUGAGCGCACUCCGAAUCACUUCAUUCACCUGUGCACUAUUUUGUAGGCAAGGGAGCAAUCCUUUGGCUAUGACUUUUUAUCAACACUAUUUCAUUUUGUUGGGUUUUGGGAAAUAUAAUACAACUUUCAACAAUGGAUCUCUUGGUUCUC
rnacentral:misc_RNA from 1 species